rnacentral:rRNA from 1 species
GAUGAACGCUGGCGGCGUGCCUAAUACAUGCAAGUCGAGCGAAUGGAUUAAGAGCUUGCUCUUAUGAAGUUAGCGGCGGACGGGUGAGUAACACGUGGGUACCCUGCCCAUAAGACUGGGAUAACUCCGGGAAACCGGGGCUAAUACCGGAUAACAUUUUGAACCGCAUGGUUCGAAACUGAAAGGCGGCUUCGGCUGUCACUUAUGGAUGGACCCGCGUCGCAUUAGCUAGUUGGUGAGGUAACGGCUCACCAAGGCAACGAUGCGUAGCCGACCUGAGAGGGUGAUCGGCCACCCUUGGAGUGAGACACGGCCCAGACUCCUACGGGAGGCAGCAGUAGGGAAUCUUCGGCAAUGGACGAAAGUCUGAAGGCGCAACGCCGCGUUAGUGAAGAAGGCUUUCGAGUCGUAAAACUCUGUUGUUAGGGAAGAACAAGUGCUAGUUGAAUAAGCUGGCACCUUGACGGUACCUAACCAGAAAGCCACGGCUAACUACGUGCCAGCAGCCGCCGUAA